ensembl:lncRNA
CCAUUGUACUUCAACUGAAGGAAGUGACUGUGAAACAAAAGUGAGGUGGGAGGAGAGGUGGGCAUUUGGCUGAUGUGAAAGAGUGAGAAGGUGCAGCUGAAUCACACUCUUCUCAUCAAAAACAGGUAGCCCCAUGACACUAGAACCAAUGGAGUUGGGAUUUCAACAGGACCACCUGACUUCAUUUGAGGCGAAUUAAACCACUUUAAUACGUCUCUCCUCUCCUUGAUUCCUCCUCUUUAAAACUUUUCUUGAAGAUGCUUUGAGACUCAGUGACAUUUGGUUAAAAUUUGAAGGCACAAUGAUGAAGCCCUUCCUUUAGGACCAGCAUUAUAGAUGUAUUUCUUUACAUACUUCCAGAAGCCUCUUUACUCAGCAUCCUGGAGCCUUCAAACCCAGAAAAAUUGUGUCUGCCGUGGUAGUGUGAAAUCUGGUUCUCUCAGGGGUGAAGAAUGCCUUGCUGCAGCAAAAUUAUUAUGAUGCUGGAUAUAAAGCCCGAAUCAACACUGUCUACCUGUCUGUCUCAUUAACAACUUUCCACAGUUUUGGUGAAGCGAGAAAUGAUCUUUCAAAUUAAGCAUUUCUGAAGCCUGUUACAGAAAGUCUUUAUAUUUCAAAAGUAUCUCAGCUUCACAGUAAAGAGUUUUUUCCUUCCUCAAUCUUCUGUUUCCUGUUCAUCACAAAAUGAGCAUUGUCUUCACUUUCCACAUCGUUUCUCCUGUGCUUAUUUUUAUUGUAUCAGUUUUUUCUUUUCCAGGAACUUCCCCAAACUGUUUCCCAUGCAGGAAAUAGCUAAGCAAGCAAACAAACAAAUUAGAUGACAGU